GGCCGAGAGGGUCACUAACAAAGUAUUACCACAUCAGGUCAGAGCUCAGUGUUACAAAUGGACUAUUACUGAGAGACAAAAGGAUUGUCAUUCCGCACAGUAUGAGGACAGACAUACUGCAAAGGAUACAUGAAGGACAUUUAAGAGUCGAGAAAUGCAAGAGAAGGGCCAGGGAAGCCGUAUACUGGCCAGGCAUCAACAAGGAAAUUGAAAAUAGGAUUGCAAAAUGUGAAACAUGUCAAAAGUAUCAGUGCAAGCAAGCAAGGGAACCUAUGCUGAUUCCAGAUCUUCCCACCGCUCCCCGGAAGAAAGUUGGAACAGACUUGUUUCAUUACAAUGGAAAAGAUUAUUUGCUGGUAAUUGACUACUAUUCCAACUAUCUCGAAAUCGCCUUGCUCACAAGCAGAACUGCAACCAAUGUCAUAACACAUG